UACAGAGGUCCCGAGCGUUGUUCGGAUUCACUGGGCGUAAAGGGUGCGCAGGUGGGUUUGCAAGUUCGAUGUGAAAGCCCCGGGCUUAACCCGGGAAUGGCAUUGGAUACUGCAGAUCUGGAGGAUCGGAGGGGGGACUGGAAUUCUUGGUGUAGCAGUGAAAUGCGUAGAUAUCAAGAGGAACACCAGUGGCGAAGGCGAGUCCCUGGACGAUACCUGACACUGAGGCACGAAAGCGCGGGGAGCGAACAGG
rnacentral:rRNA from 1 species